UCUCGUGUAGCUUAGUGGCAGAGCGUCAUGCUUAUGCACUUUUUAAACCAAAGUGACUUGAAGGUCGCGAGUUCAAGUCUCGCCACGAGAA
rnacentral:tRNA from 2 species